ACUAAACCAGGACACUUUUGAGAGUGAACUUCAGAGCUACUGAUAAUUACACUGAGGCGCAGCAACGUCUGGGACCAACUCAACACUCAGUCUGCUCAUGGGGCAUGGGUUUCCCGGUCCUUCCCUAGCCUGACUGCUCUUCUCCGGAUAUUGGGUGGUCUGUCUCCUUUUAAACCAUUGCUCCCAGAACUGAUUUCCAUAUGUGUCUGCCAUAGUGGAAAAUACCAAAUACGCAAGGAGAUCGUUUCAGUGCUAUCUGCUCAACACCUUAAUAGAGGCAAGAGAGAAUGUGGAGGAAGAAACGAUGGACUCUUUAUGAGAGAGUGGAAGAUGGCUUUGCAGAGGAACUGCUAUCUGAGAUGAAGUAGGAGUUUCUCCAGGCAGGAAGGGCGUUGUUGCUUCCCCUCAGGGUAGAGGGGAGAGCAGAGUUCCCCACGUGCAUGCCUGUUGCUGAAUGCUACUCAGGCUGAUCUCCUGCUUUGAGCGAAUUCGAGGGUGGUCUGAGAAGGAUGCACUUGUCCUGCAGGCCGGUUGUUUCUUCCUGUUUUUGAUCUUCAGAUUCGUCAUAGGAAGAACAGCCGACAUACAGGCAGAAUUUGACAAAUGAGGCAACAAGCAACUUGAUCUGGAAUCCGUCGUCUUCCAGACCCCAGUAGGAGUCUGAGCACCAGUGUGGUGGCCACUCCAGCUGCCUGGGGCGCCUGAGGCCUCUACCACCAAAGCACACACAGCUGCCUGUGGCUGAGUUCUGUGGUCUCCCGUGCCCCCUCCCCCUGCUUCCCCCCCGGAGGAUGGAUUCUCAAGAGUGGAAUUGCUUUUCCUCUUGAGGCUGACACAGCAACAGUGUAUCUGAGGCCCCUGCCCCGCCCCCAGGCUGGCCAGUGUUUUGGGCCAACCUGCUAGACCCAAAAAUGGUAAUCUCAUUGAGAUCUAAUUUGCAUGCCCCUGAGUCCUGGUGAAGUUGAGCAUCUUUUCAUAUGUUUAUUGACAAUUUGCAUUUCUUAUUCAGUAAAUUACCUACUCAUAUCUUAGA